AUUGAACGCUAGCGGGAUGCCUUACACAUGCAAGUCGAACGGGAUGGCGAACGGGUGAGUAAUGUAUCGGAACGUGCCCAGUAGAGGGGGAUAACUACGCGAAAGCGUAGCUAAUACCGCAUACUAUUGGAGCGGCCGAUAUCGGAUUAGCUAGUUGGUGGGGUAACGGCUCACCAAGGCGACGAUCCGUAGCUGGUUUGAGAGGACGAACAGCCACACUGGGACUGAGACACGGCCCAGACUCCUACGGGAGGCAGCAGUGGGGAAUAGUGGACAAUGGGGGAAACCCGGAUCCAGCCAUCCCGCGUGUGUGAUGAAGGCCUUAGGGUUGUAAAGCACUUUCGGCAGGAAAGCGGUACCUGCAGAAUAAGCACCGGCUAACUACGUGCCAGCAGCCGCGGUAAUAC
rnacentral:rRNA from 1 species